UCGGUGUCAAGGACAGAGCAUUUGUUCUGGAGCAGACAGACCAGAGAAGGGCUUCCAAGGGACUCCAGAAGCGCAGAUGCACGCUAUUUCCAGACCAGGGACAACAGUAUGCCUUCACUGUAUUGCCUCAGGCUGUCAACUCUCCUGCACCUGCUCAUAAUGUAGUCUAGAAGGACCUCCAGAACACCAAGCUGAUCUGUUUCAUGUUUUCAUCAUGCUAAUUGGACCUGGUGGGCCCGAAGGAGCCAACUAGCAAGUAGGUGCCUUAGUAAAACACGCCAGAGACGGAAGGAUGCCUUCCAUCUCAGCCUGGCCAGAACUCUUCCCUGCUCUCUGAGGUCCACAUAAAGGCCUUCUCAGAACCUCCCAAGCAGAGUAGUUCCAGCGGAGCCCAGCCUCGCAGUCAGCUUCACCGCUGCAUUAGACCAGU